AGAUUUGGGAGUGAAGGAGCAGCUCUACUCCUUUUUCUGUUUGCAGGCAGCUUUUCUUCGCACAUCUAAAGGACGCGCACUUCGUUCGCCUCAUCGCGCAG
ensembl:processed_transcript cald1a caldesmon 1a